rnacentral:lncRNA from 1 species
UUGUUAGUUCAUAAUGAUUUUCAUUUACUUUGUAGUGAGAAAACACACUUUCAUAUGCCAAAAUGAAAUGAUAAUGUCGAUUUCCCAUCGUGUGUGUUGUGUCUAUGUGUAUGUUUUUGAGUGUGUAUCUGUGUUUCCAUGCGUAUACAUUUGUGUUUGUGUUCAUGUUUGUCUAUAUGUAUGUGUUUUUGUGUUUCUAUGUCAAUGUGUAUGUGUUUUGUGUGUCUAUAUGUAUGUGUUUGUGUGUAUGUGUGUGUGUGUAUUAUGUAUGUCUUUGUGUAUGUGAGUUUAUAUGUAAUGUGUCUGUAUCUAUAUGUGUGUUUGUGUAUGUUUGUGUUUGUGUGUGUCUAAUGUGUAUCUGUACCUCUGUGUGUGUGUAUGUGUGUGUGUGUGCGUGUGCUGUGUGAUAUAUACAUGUCUCCACACAGGCUGGGGAGGAGAAUGCUGGGAUAAUAUUUUUUACUCUCUAUCUUAUUCUCUGGAGAGAUGGACUCUCACUGACCCUCGUCCUCCUGUUCCAUGUCAGGCUGGCUUCCGAGAGGGCUUCUAUGAACUUGUUUUCUCUGCUGCUUUAUUUCCUCAGCAUCAAAGCUACAGGCUCUUGUGAACUCUGUUGUUGUGGAUCUGAACGUAGAGUCUCAAGCUUUUCUCUCAGAUAUUCUCAUCCAUGAGACAUCUCCCCAUCUCCAGUGUUCAACGUCCAACAUUUCAACAUAAUUGCUUACUCAAUUUAAAAAGCAUGAAAAUCAUAUUAUUGCCUAUUUUCCUCUUUUAUUUAUCCUGAAAUUAUACCAUUGUAGAGAAAAUAGUAUUUUAAGGAUUAUUAAAUACAUCUAUACAUAUGUGGACAGGAUCACAUUAAAUGAAAAAUACACAAGUAAUAGUUAACUUUUUAGAAAACUCAUUUAUACAUAGUUUACUGAUAACUGUAUAUUAUUAAUAAACCCAUAUUAGGAAGCUGAAAAAUGAUGGACAAGGAAAGUCGAGAAAGAGGAAGACAUUAACUGAGCGUCCUGUCCACACAGCUGCCAGGAAGGGUUUCAUCAUCAUCCUGGCACACAGGAGUAAGUUCCCAAGUCCUAUCAGGAGCCAUGUGAGUGGAUAUCUUCAAAGAGCACAUUGGAUACAACCUGGUAUCUCAGUGUCAGGACUAUAAAAGUAUGACAAUUUUUUCAAAGCAAUGAUUUGUAAUUACUAGAAUAUUGUCUUACAGUGACACAUGUAAGCAUGCUUUAAAAUGCAUACAAGUUUCAAUAAAGACCAAAGCUUUGCUAACACAAUAGAAGAAGAAGUCUUACAGUCUGCCUCCACUGCCUUUUGUGUGUACCAUGAGCAAGUCUUUCCCUUUUUGGAAA